AAAUCACUUUCCGACUUUCGGACUAUCGGAGAGACGCUGAAGCAAAAAUAUGAAGCCCCUAUCCGAAUAGCCAGGAGGUCGCUACGAACAUUGAAAAGAGCCGAGAAAACAAAGCGACGCGUGCCUAUUUCUUAUACGGAACUGGUUUACGUUCAUAGAUCCCCAAAUUACUGUAGAGCAAAUAGAAAGAGGGGAAUUCUGGGAACAAAGGGACGCGAAUGUAACAAGACGUCAUCGGGGUCAGACAGCUGUGACCUUUUGUGCUGUGGGCGUGGCUAUAAUACUCAAGUAGUGCGAUUAGUGGAACGAUGUGAAUGCAAAUUCAUUUGGUGUUGUUAUGUAAAAUGUAAAACAUGUGAAACGCUUUUGGAUAAGCACACAUGCAAAUGAACUCAAGAUGAUUUCAUUUCUUUAAUAUUAUGUGAUCAAAGCAAUAUUCCACUAGAAAUGACUUGUUUUCAUUUUUCCGGAUUACUUCCGAAUUUACUCAAUGCUGUUUAGUUUGUCAAUUUGCCCUAUCAUAGUGGAUUUGGGCAAUUUUCAUGAAUCAAGAAGUUCCACAAGAACGACAAUGUUAACUCUCAAAGCUAACAUGAAGUGUUGACAUUUGAAAGAGUAAUAAGGAAUCAUAUGAUGUUUUUCAUAUUUUCAUAUUAUUCGGUCGACCUUGAAAGACUUAUGUAUACGUACGUAACUAUACUACAUGUACUGUGAAACAAAACAAUAUGAGCGACAGUUUCAAACAAUUUUAUACUAUAGGAAGCCUCAGGAUGGAAUUGCCAUGUCGAAGAAUAGAUGAUUAUGAUGUCCAUGCAUGUAUUUAUUAUUUUUUGACCCAAUUCGUUUUUUUUAAAACUGUGACAUCCAUGUAAAGUGUGUAAUAAAAAAUCAGUGCUAUAUAUAAUAUAAUUAUUGUACAUAUUCAUGUCCAAAACUUCACUUGUAUCAUAACUUUCAUUGUACAUCAUCAGAAAUUUUCUGUAUUUUGUAUUUUUACAUUACCGGUACAUGCUCUUUUCUUGUUACUAUUUUUACAUGUAACGAAAUGAGUAAAGUACAUAAAAUCUG
rnacentral:misc_RNA from 1 species